ACAGAACGUAAAAAUAGGAUGAAGUUAUUGUGGGUUUUUUUUUUUUAAUUGUUUGUUUUUUGCUAACUAUUCUGAGAAGUUGCAAGGCAGGAUGGAUUCUGUUUUCUUCAGACAUACAGGCUUAGAAUGGGAAACAACCAUGAUCGCUCAUGUAAGAGGCAUCUUAUCACUUUGGCCUUUAACUGGAACCUAAGGCAAUGUUAGUACUGAAGGUGUUCUCUGUAUGCACUGGUCUUCAUAUCUGAUUUCAGAGAGAAGCAGUGGAAGUUAUUAGGAGGAUUCUUGGAGACAGGGAAGAAGAAAUUGUAUUCUCAUCUCUUCUACACUUAACCAAACAGGUUCUUAAUUAUCAGCAUUAAGAAGUUUGAUACUGCAAGCUGUUUGGUAUCUCUUUGUACUGGUUUCACAAACACUAUGAAUGCAUCACAUUUUUUCAGGGAUUUUUAAAGGCCAGAAUGAAACAAAUGCAGCCAUGAAACCUAAUUAAAAGAAUAACUAUUUGUUUUCAUUUUAUUUUAAAUAGACACUUCCUUUAAGAGUUGGAUUCUGCUCACGGGUCACCUGCCUUUAGCAAGAAAUGUAUGAUUUUGGCCCAAAGUUCUGAUUAAAUAUCAACAAGCAAUUAAAAAGUUCUGAUUAAAUAUCAACCAGUAAUUAAAAAAAUAAUUAAAAAAAAGAAUGUUACUAGCUCUAAUAAGCAGCCAUCAGUUUGGAAAUGCAGGAAUGUGGACCAAACAGUAAUAUUUCUGGCUAAUGCAACCAAAUGGCACUUUUUUUCUGUCAUUAAUAUGCUUAAUUUGAUACAGACUGACAGAAAAAAAAUAAAUAAGCUCAAACACACAUUUUUACCUAUAAGGAGGAUUCUUUAAUUUUGAUUUGUAUUCAUUGAGGCAAUUUAUCUUCGUUUUGUUUGUCGACUUUGCAUGUUUUUAUUAGCAAUGUAAUCUUUUACCUUUAUAUAGUUAUUCCUCACUAGAAAGUACAUAAUCCUUUUGAACUUCACUUAAGAUGUUACAAUUCUCUAUUUUCUCCAGAAAAAGUGUAGAUUUGCAGCACCUGCAAAAAUUUACUGUUCUGAAGAGGUAAAAUAUUUCAAAUUGGAUAGUUUGAUGCAUAUCAGACUUGGCAAAAUGCUUUCUGAAGAUGUUUAUUUGACACAGUAACAAAGCAUUGAAACAUCCCGUGGUACCUUUUAUUCCCAAAGCCUUGCCUGUGUGUUUCUUGUCUGAUUGGUUUGUUGUGUUGGGUUCUUGUUAGUGUUUUAUGGUUUCCAGUUCCUACAAGUGUGGUGACUUCUGGUACCUGUAACAAGAUGAGCCAUGCAACCUAUGAAGGACACUGCUAUGAAUGUGUUGACACAGAAAAAAAUUAUCGUUGUGGAUAGGAGCCCUGGACCCUUUUGGAAUACAUGUCCUAAUGACCUUCCAAGUCAACAAAAUGGGUAGUGGAGCACUGCAUUUUUUUCAUUUAUACCUUUGCAAAGAAGGAGGCACUUCUUAAUUGUUAUACUGGAAGAAAUAUAUCUUUAAUUUCUGCUUAAUAGGAAAUCCUUAUGUCUGAUCAAUUCAAGACAUUCUGAAGCAGUCACAGCUAUUACUAAAGUUAAUCAAAACUUACUGCUAUGUAAGAAAAAUCGAUAGAGAACAGAUUGAGAUCAUUUAAGUCAGGAUAAUUUUGCUGCAGGGCUCCUAUAUUUUGUCCCAUUGAUAUACAGGAACCUGAUGGCAAGAAGUUUCAUGUGCCUUGCUUGUCGUUAUUAGUCAGCUGUGUUACUAAAGUUACUAAACAUCAUGUAUCUGUUUUCACUUUCAUGGUGGUUUUUUUUUGUCUUUCUCCUCUUUGAUGAACGAUUUCAUAAAAUUUUUGAUGAUUGCACCAGACAAAGUGUAUAAAACUUCCCCAUAAGAGCUUUCAGAAAUUUCAAGAUGCUUUAAAUGCAAGUGCCAUGUAGUGAGUUACAAUUAGAGCUGGUUUGAAAUGUCACUUCCACUGACAUUUCAUUCUGGGCAAAAAGUGAAAGAAAACUGCAUUCCCACUUAAAUGAAAAAAGGAUUAAGUGUUCCAGUGUCUCAUUUGGACAUACUAUUCACUUUAACCUUCAUUUUCUAUUACAUUAUAAAUUAGUAUUAUUCACAAAACAAAGGAAAAUAGGUUGAAAUAGAAACAAUAUUUUUCUUUAUUUAAAUAUAUUUUUCUGAUUAUAAAUACAUUUUUUUCUAGGAUUAACAACAGUGGAAAAUGAAUUCUUCCGAUUCUCCUAAAGAAUCAGUCUGAAUUGUUGUUGGAAGAAGAGGAAGCAGAGUUUUCUGUCUUAGUUAUGGUUUAGUUCUUUGAGUACAUACUGAUAGCAUGCCUAGAUACGGGAAAGUAAAUAGCAUUGUGGAAAGUAUUCCUCAGCAAAUAAGUAAAAAUUGGUAAAAGCCAAAUGGAUUAGCACACUGGAGCAGGAAGAGAAUAUUUUGAGAGAGUAAUGUAUUUGGGUGAACAUAUCAACAACUGAAACAAUGGUGUUACCAGAACCUUUUUCAUUAUAUAUCCAAAACAUAGCAUCAUACGAGCUACUAUGAAGAAAACAAACUAUGUCCCAACACAGGGGCGAAGACAGAAACAAAAGAAAUAAUUAUUACUACUGUUAUUUCUAUCAGGACAAAAAAGCCUCUGUAAGGAAUGUACUUAGGCUUUCUUACCAACCUCAGUGCAGACAGGAAGAAAUAGAACUGAUGUAGGACAGUGUCCUGAUCAGAGAGUGCUCUGGCACUUGGCACACAUAAGGCAAGUUCAAUUUGUAGGUCUCCCUACAGCACCUUAUAAAAUAGAUGAAUAGUGUUUCAACAGGAGUUCAAACUACACAAUGAAUUACGGUUAUUAGCAGAACUAGAGAAUAUCUGCAUUGUCCUAAUUGUUUCUGGAGUUUGUGCCACAGUUGUCACGACAGGCAAAUAGCUGGCAAUCCCAUCUGGUGGUUUACUGUUGCAGAAAAGGAGAAUUAUCCUAUCUGCAGUCUGACUUUGGGCAGAGUUAAACAGUCACUGACUCGAGGAAAUGCUUUAAAAUAAUAUUUGCUUAAUAUACAAAUUGUUAUCCUUUAGAUUAUUAUUUCCUGGUGUUACUGACCUUUUAUUAUACUUCUCCCCAUAUUGGUAUGCAUGCUACACUAAAAUUUAAAUAAACACAUAAUGGCAGACUGUGAAAUUCCUCAUUAGUACUCAGUGUGUUUGUGUUUUCCUCCUGGGGGCUUUUUACUUGCUAUUCUGUGCGUGCAGUGGACAUGGAUCACAUGGCAGCGAGAAAUAUUUUAUGGGUUUGAUUUUGAUUUUUUUUCUUCUUUUCUCUUUACAAUACGUCUUACUUGAUCGGGCUGGGAAUAGACUAAAUUUCUAGUUUGCUUUUAAUAGAUGAGAAAUCUCUAUGAUCAAAGUAAUUUCUUCUGAUUUCUUUUAUUUAUGCUCAUGACCAUCAGCUGUUGUUUGCAUCUACAAGGUCUGCUCAGAUUGUCUGUGCACACUCAUGACUUAGUCCAAAUCCAACUACCCCAUUUUUUUUUCUGUGACAACUGCUGACACUCUAAUUAGUUAUAUGUAAUUCAGCUGUUUGUGUCUGUGGAGUAAGGUUGAUCAUGUUGCUGCUUUUCUUCUUCUAAAUGUUUUAAAGCUUCUUUCAGUAGCUAGUUAAUUCCGUAUCCUGACAAGGCUCAAGUUCAACAUCUUAUCUUCAUGUCGUACUGUGUGAACCACCAGAAGUUUGGAGACAGACCUGCAGAAAGAGCAUUCCUCAGUCCCCAGAACCCUCACAGUUGUUUCAGUGUCUACUAAAAAACAAUGGAAUACCAGAUGCAUUGAACUCUAAUUAUCUGGGUAGCUUGAAGGUCCUUCUGGAGAUUGCUUUUUGCUAGAAAUAACCAAACAGAAAAUCAUGUGAUUAUGUUGACAGAUUUCCACCUGAGGCUGAAAUCAGAAUUUUAUUUGUGAAGGUAAUUUUAUUAUGUAACUGUUAUUUUUAUCCAAAUGAUGUAACUUGGUUCAUAAAGUAUCUUUCCUGAUGUUCACGUAGUUCAUAGAUUACUGAGCAGAAGGAAAGUUGUGUGCCUGUUGGCUGGCCUUCACAGUGGUGUGCCAAGGGAAAAGGCAUAGUUUUUCAAAGUUUUUGUGCAGUUAUAAUAGUAAAGAGGCAAAGCAAAGUUAAAAAAAAAAUAGUUCCUAUGGAACUGCAUGUGUGCUUGAAUUGAACUAUUUAAUUGAUCGAAAAUGGUAUCAUACAGUGUAGGGGAACCAUUAGGUAAUAGCUUGAACUGGUGAUUGAGCACCUGGUGAAGGAGUGUGGCUGGCCCAGGGAGCACAGGCAGAGUGUUUGCACCUGUGCUCCCCAGGUGACCAGAGGGGGUAGACCCAGGUUGGAGCCCUCUGGGCUUGUAUAAGGGCCAGCCACUGCCGGGACAGUAUCCCUUGGGCCUUGGCUGCUUUCUGGGAGAGUGCUGUACAGCCUGAAAUCCUUUUCUCCAGUUGGCCAGACAGACACAUGCACAGUCAUUCACAGCUGCCUGGUUGCAGCUGGGAUCCCAAUACCAGCUGGAUACUUGAAAGCAGAGGAUCAGACCAUCAUCAUGCCAAUGGCUUUGCAAGUCCGUAAAGAGCGAUCACAGACGCUGCCCAACCUUUCCAGCAUGUGAGAAGAGUGGAUCUUUUUUUGCUUCAGUGUAUCAUGCUGAGGAGGAACAGUCAUUCCACAUGUUUUUCCUUCCUCUUGAACACUGAGCAGGCAUGUCCAGCCCAUGGGCUGCAUGUGGCCUAGCCCAGCUCGCACUGCGGCCACCCCCUGCCUCAUAACAUCAUCUUUCCACUGAGUGGCCUGGCCCCAGGCACACAACCAUUACUUGGCACCAACUGAACAUCGGUGCGCUAUUAACCCCAUCUGGGCUGAAAC